rfam:Bos taurus Ctg29.CH240-320M6, whole genome shotgun sequence.
CGGAGGACUGAGAAGGUGAGGCAGUUCUGAACCAUGCUGCCUUCCACUGGUUAAGACCUCCGAGAGCGAAGGCCUGCAGAGGCAGAGGAAGUCCCUCUGCCGCCCCCAGAGGGGCAGCACUGUGUUGGCCGACACUUG